UACGUAGGUGGCGAGCGUUGUCCGGAUUUACUGGGCGUAAAGGGAGCGUAGGCGGCCUUUUAAGUGAGAUGUGAAAUACCCAGGCUCAACCUGGGGGCUGCAUUUCAAACUGGAAGUCUAGAGUGCAGGAGAGGAGAGUGGAAUUCCUAGUGUAGCGGUGAAAUGCGUAGAGAUUAGGAAGAACACCAGUGGCGAAGGCGACUCUCUGGACUGUAACUGACGCUGAGGCUCGAAAGCGUGGGGAGCAAACAGG
rnacentral:rRNA from 1 species